CAAUUUUGAUGGACUGAAAUAACAACAUCCGGUUGGCAAAUUAUUGUAUUUUGGAUUUGCAGAGACAUACUCUUGAUUUCAGUGUUACCAUGUUUUACUGAUCGGUGAUUUGUUGGGGUUUGAAUCGCAGUACUAUUACACAAUUUGUAUCUAAGAGUUGACCUUUGAACAUCAUUGGAAGGGUAAAUAAAUCCAUGCUCACGGAACAAGGCGAAAAUGGAAAAAGAUAAGGAACAGACAGUUUAUAUCAUAAAUCAAGGCGAUGGAAUGGACUCUGUACAAGUCUGGCAGGCAUAUACCAUGUGUGCAAUUAGCAUCAUGUUAAUGCUGGCAAUGAGAUCAGUUGUGACAAAGUUUGGGAAACCGAAAACUUUAAAAGAUGGAGUGUCCUUUUGGAAAUGGAGAAAUAUUCUUAUAUCAUGGAUACAUGCUGUCAUUGUUGGUACUUGGGACUUCAUGUGGCAAGUAUAAAUCUUCAUAUAGAAAAUCGUGCUGAAAUGUUUAACACUGUAAAUUCAAGUAAAAUGCUUUUUUCUUGAUUAAAGGUGUAUGGAUCUUUCUUGAAUUGCACCACAAGUUUCUAUACCACGAAAGGAAGGUUGGGGUUGAUUUUAGAGGUAUUAAGUUUUCCUCAAGUGAGUUUAGUAGAUACUGCAUUUGCCAUAUCAAAAUCAACUAUGUUUGAUACAUGUAAUGAGUAUAAGUCACUGUAAGCUGUGCAUGGAUGUCUAACCGUGUCCAUCUGACCUUGAUGUCAUUUCUAUGUUCAUUGAUAAUGUGAAGUUUAUGUAAUGCUUGUAGUAUUUUAUCUUAAGGACUAUCAGCCAUGGUUUGUAAAGCAGGCGGGACAUUUCUACUUUCCGCUAUAUAGAUGACGUUCUUUCACUAAACAAUUCAAAAUUUGGUGACUAUGUGGAUCGCAUCUACCCCAUCGAAUUGGAGAUAAAGGAUACUACAGAUACAGUUAAGUCGGCUUCAUAUCUUGACUUACAUCUAGAAAUUGACAAUGAGGGUCGGUUGAAGACAAAACUUUACGACAAAAGAGAUGAUUUCAGCUUUCCAACUGUGAACUUUCCAUUUCUAAGUAGCAACAUUCCAUCAGCACCUGCAUACGGGGUAUAUAUCUCCCAAUUGAUACGAUAUUCCCGUCCUUGCUUUUCCUAUCAUGAUUUUCUUGAUAGAGGGUUACUGCUCACAAGGAAGCUAUUAAACCAAGAGUUCCAAAUGGUGAAGUUGAAAUCAUCCCUUCGUAAAUUUUACGGACGCCAUCACGAGUUGGUUGACCGUUAUGGAAUAACCGUUUCACAAAUGAUAUCGGAUAUGUUCCUUACGUCGUAACUACAAUCCCCUUCCCUUUCAUGAAUUUGACCUACCGAAUUAAGACUAUUUACCGGAUUUGUAAUCACAUAAGCAACACGACGGGUGCCGCAUGUGGAGCAGGAUCUGCUUACCCUUCCGGAGCACCUGAGAUCACCCCUAGUUUUUGGUGGGGUUCGUGUUGUUUAUUCUUUAGUUUUCUAUGUUGUGUCAUGUGUACAAUUGUUUUUCUGUUUGUCUUUUUCAUUUUUAGCCAUGGCGUUGUCAGUUUGUUUUAGAUUUACGAGUUUGACUCUCCCUUUGGUAUCUUUCGUCCCUCUUUUCAACAUGUGCACUCUUGUUAUGAUUAUACCCCAAAAUCCAAACCGAACCUUGUUAUUCUACCCUGGUGUUCAGUCGAAGGCCAAUUUGAAACAUAUUUUGUAGUAAUACUAAUUGGUUAUAUUUUGUUCGAGAAAUCAGGAAUUUGUUAAGCAACACCACUUCAUGAUUCCAGAUCAUUCCAUUUACAGAAUUAUAAUAGAGCAGUUCCAGUAGAACAUUAUUUUGCUAGUCCAGAUACUAUAUGAAAAGAAAACUCACAAAAAUACCGAACUCACAGGAAAAUUCAAAACGAAAAGUCUGUAAUCAAAUUCCAAAACCGAAAGCCCAAAACACAUCAAACACAUCAAACGAAUGGAAAAUAACUGUCACAUUCCUGACUUGGUACAGACAUUUUUGUAUGUAGAAAAUGGUGGAUUAAACUUGUUUUAUAACAUUCAGUAUUUAUUUUUGUUUCGUAUUUUGUGUUUUUCUUGUCAUUAUUACUGUUCGUUUUCUUUCUCAUUCGUUGAAAAGGUUGGUCCGGUGUGUCUGUAUGAAAUAAGUUUACCUUGUGUUUUCUUUCUUAUUCUGAACCACUGUUAUAUUUCAGUCGUUUCGUGUCUAUUGUACGGAAUUGCAUGAAUUGCUUGAAUUGCUUUAUGAUAAAACGAUAGUGAAAGGACGAUAUAUUGAUUAUCUAUUAUUUAUGUUUUCUAUACCAUUUUAAUGACUAAUUGAUAAAUGUAAAGAAUUAAUUAAAUUACAUUGAAAUUAAUUAUUUUUUGUGUGCAUACAACCACCGUUCUUAUAGGAAUAUGAUAUAAGUGGACCAAAUCAAUUGCAAAGUUUCCCAACAUGUUAUGCCAUAUUUACAUGUCUAUGUUUCUGUAUUUAAGAAUUUUAUGUUUUUUCUUUCCAGUUUAUGGUGGUAUCCUGAUCUCUUCCAGGAUCCAGUGUUUUAUAUUAACAACAUAAUGUACCUAAUGGUGCCGUUUUCUAUCGGUAUUUAUUCUUUUUCCUUAAGUUUAAAGAUAGCAUUGAACAUUAGGUGAUUUUUUAAAGUUAUUUUCACAGGCACUUUUCUCCAAAAAUUUCAUAUAUUAUAUAACACAAAAGGUAUGUAGGAUUUUGUUAUGAGGCGAGUGCCUGAAGUUAUUUACUAAUAUUUUGUACUCCCCUUCUGUUAAAAUUACACUCAAAUGGACGUGUUAAAAUUCUUCCGAGUUCGAGCUUUAUUGGAUCAUUUUAUCAAAUGAUUGUUUAUUUUUGUUUCUUCUUCCGACCAGUAGUAAAACGCUUGUCAUAGUGGGGCCCCGUUUAAAUAGAAUGCCACGCUCUUGUACGUUAAGAACCCUUGUAACAACUCUUUGAGGGGUCCGUAGAUGGCCUGUUGCAAGGCUAAAUUUCGGUCCCUAUCCAAUAUACCCUAAUUUUCCAGUGGUAGUCUAAAUUACUUCAACCAUCAUCCCGGAUUGCCUCUCACAAGACUACAUAUUGUAUUUUUUGUUAACUUGUUCUCGUUCUAAACAUGCAUUCAAUAUUUGCCACUGGACGUUAAGCAACCAACAAUCAAUUAGUCAUAUUACCUGCACAUUUAAACAGACAAAAAGAGAUACUUCGGCUUAUUUCAAUACCUUGUGAUACAAUCGGAACCUUUAGUUUAAGCUCUUUUCUCAAUCAAAAGUUAAUCUGUAUCCAGGAAGUCUUAAUGAUACAUUAUUAACAGGCCCCAGUUUUUGAAAUCGUUUUGUCUUACACUUAACAAUAUUUGAAUUUUUUUAUUUUUUUGGAAGAAAAAUUACGAAAAUGCUACCAAAGCAAGAGUAAGCCAUGCAUUAUUUAUAAAACAAAUUAUCACAGAAAUGUACGAGUCUUUCUUUUUAAUAAUUUUAUUCUGAUAUCUUUCAUGACAAACAUAAAGAAGUUCUUUGUAACGUAUUUUUAACAUGAUGAUAUAAUACAAUAGUAAGUUUCUAUAAAAAGAACAAUCACAAAAAUACCGAAAUCCUAGGAGAAUCAAAACGUAAAGUCCCUAAUCAAAGUGUAUAAUCAAAAGCUCAGACACCAAACGAAUGGAUGACAACUGUCAUAUUCCUGACUUGGUACAGGCGUUUUCUAAUGUAGAAAAUGGUGGAUUAAAACUGGGUUUAUAGCUAUCUAAACCUCUCAAUUGUAUGACAGUCUCAUAAAAUUCCAUUAUUAUAUUGACAAAGAUGUGAGAACUAAAGAUACAGAAAUGUCAAAAUAGGGGUACAACAGUCAACAUUGUGUUAUAAUCUUGAUCACUAUAAAAAACAUACAAAUAUUUAUCAAAGAAAAACAAAAUAGCUUAUUAGAGACAAAGCACAUAAGUAAAAAUGAAAGACAAAAAUACCAUAGCACAAUAACACAAUGACGGGAUACAUUUUUAUUUUUUGAAUUAACUUUUAGACUUUCAGACUUGCAAUCUUUAAAGCAGUCAUCACUUAUAUUUUAUUGAACAUUUCAGGCUAUUUUCUUUAUGAUCUUUAUGAUAUGAUGACAAAUGAACAAAAAUUCAUUGACUGGGAAAUUGUUCUACACCAUGUACUUCUUAGUACCGUGAUGAUCUAUUCAUGGACUAACAAGUUGUGUAUUGCUUACAGUGUAAUACUACUUACAUCGGAAAUAAACAGUAUUUUCCUUCAUCUACGAAAACUUCUACAGUUCACAAAGGUCAACUUCAAUUCUUGGCUCUAUCAGUUAGUAGCUAUGCUGAACCUGUUUACGUUUAUAACUUGUCGUCUGUUCCCUCAAAGUCGUCUGAUGUUUGGAUUCUACACAGAUGGACAUCGUAUCUCAAAAGGCUACUUUAUUCUCUUAUUGUUAACAUAUCCAAUUGGGUUUGUUAUAAAUAUAGUUUUGUUUUGGAGAAUACUUAAAUCAGAUGUGUUGAGACGAUUGAAAGGAAAUGAUAAAUUACUGAAUAAGAUGGAGUAGAAAUGCAUUGUGCAAAUACAACACCCUCCACGUAAGGUAAUAAAACUUUCUAGUCGCAGUGUGAUUUUGUAAUAAUAAUAGUAAACAUUACCAACAAGGUCAAUAUUUACCAAUCGAGGAAAAUAUGAUAAUUUGCAUUAAGAUACGUAUAGACAUAACAUGACAUAACAUGAUUUUAUUUGUUGGAUUAAUGAUGGAUUGUUUGAUUUUUAUAUGCCAGUUUACGGGACGUAUUGUGAUAUACCGUUGUCCGUCCGUCCUUCAUCAAAAUUGUCUAACAUUCACUCAAAAUUUCAUUUUUCUUAUAAAUUUCAGAUUUUAUGUUUCUUAGUUAUGGGGUUUUAUACAUUAAAAAAUAAUUUCCCAGAUCAGGACACUAUGGUGAAUUGUUUAUAUCUAUUGAUGUAAGCUCACUUUUGAUUUUCAUAAAUUUAGAAUAUGACGUGGAGUUAUUGAAGUUUAUUCUUGAAAAUGUGACGGGCGUAUCAUGCGAUCAUGGCGUAGCCGUUUAUAAUUUUUAAUGUUUUGCUUACUUAUAUAUAUGUUUGUAAUAUAGUAGUACCCUGGUCAAUGGUAGACAAUGGUUUUGGAUUUCAGACCUCGGAAUUGAAACAUUAAUAAAGAAAACAUAUACGAAACUUACAAAACAAUUAAAAACAAUUGACCUUCGAGUAAACUUUCCAUCUUAAAACCAGUUCAUAUACUUUUACAAUCAUUUUAUUUCAUUCCCAACUUCAUCAUGGUUCUAUU